AUGGGUGAGUAACGCGUAUGCAACCUGCCCACGACAGGGGGACAGCCCGUUGAAAGACGGAUUAAUACCCCAUAAAACAGGGGUUCCGCAUGGGACUAUUUGUUAAAGGUUUUUCCGCGAGGGGGAUCCGGUUGUGGAUGGGCAUGCGUUCCAUUAGGCAGUUGGUGGGGUAACGGCUCACCAAACCGACGAUGGAUAGGGGAACCGGGAGGUUGGUCCCCCACACUGGUACUGAGAUACGGACCAGACUCCUACGGGAGGCAGCAGUGAGGAAUUUUGGUCAAUGGACGGAAGUCUGAACCAGCCAAGUCGCGUGAAGGAAGGCGGCCCUAAGGGUUGUAAACUUCUUUUGUAAGGGAAUAAAGGCCGGUACGUGUUACCGGUUUGCAGGUACCUUACGAAUAAGGAUCGGCUAACUCCGUGCCAGCAGCCGCGGUAAUACGGAGGAUCCGAGCGUUAUCCGGAUUUAUUGGGUUUAAAGGGUGCGCAGGCGGGAGAUUAGGUCGGCGGUGAAAUGUCGGGGCUCAACCUUGAAAGUGCCGUCGAAACCGGUUUUCUUGAGUGCGGAUGAAGUAGGCGGAAUUUGUGGUGUAGCGGUGAAAUGCGUAGAUAUCACAAGGAACACCGAUUGCGGAGGCAGCUUACUAAACCGCAACUGACGCUCAUGCACGAAGGCGUGGGGAUCAAACAGGAUUAGAUACCCUGGUAGUCCACGCAGUAAACGAUGAUUACUGGCUGUUUGCGAUACAAUGUAAGCGGCUGAGCGAAAGCGUUAAGUAAUCCACCUGGGGAGUACGUUCGCAAGAAUGAAACUCAAAGGAAUUGACGG
rnacentral:rRNA from 1 species